AUCACCUGAGGUCAGGAGUUCAAGACAAGCCUGGCCGACAUGGCGAAACCCUGUGUCUACUAAAAAUACAAAAAUUAGCUGGGUGUGGUGGCGUGCACCUGUAGUCCCAGCUACUCUGGAAGCUGAGGCAGGAGAAUCACUUGAACCUGGGAGGCAGAUGCUGCAGUGAGCCAAGAUCACAACACUGCACUCCAGCCUGGGCAACAAGAGUGAAACUUCGUCUCAAAAAAAAAAAAAGGAAUACCUGAGGCUGAGACCGAAUCGUUUAUAAAGAAAAGAGGUUCAUUUGGCUCACGAUUCUGAAGUCUGUACACAUAGCAUGGUCCUGGCAUUUGCUUCUGGUGAGGCCUCGAGAAGCUUACAGUCACAUCAGGCAAUGGGAGUCAGCAUGUCACAUGGCAAGAGAGCAAGGUGGGGGGUGUGCCACAUUCUUUUAAACAAUCUCACUUAAACUCAGAGUGAGAACUCACUCAUUACUGUGAGGAGGGCACCAAGACAUUCAUGAGGGAUCCACCCUCAUGAUCCAAACACCUCCCAUGAGGCCCCACCUCUAACAUUGGGGAUUACAUUUCAACAUGAAAUUUGGAGGGGACACGCAUUCAAACCAUAUCACUCAUCUAUCAGAAAAGUAAAAUAAAAUUUACAAAGAAAAGAAAGAUCAACCCAGUCUGGGAAAGUCAGGGAAGCCAUCAUGGAAGUGGAUGACCUAAACAAAAUCUGGCUGAGUAUGAAUCCGUUGAUGAAUGGGAUAAGGAGGGAACUGGUUAGGGGAACAUUUCACAUGAAUAUUAUCACAUAAAUCAACACUGUUAGCAUGGGUGUACUCCUUAGUGUUUCUUGAAGAGAAAUGUGGUUGGAGUCCAUUUUGCACUAUUAUAAAAGAAUAUCUGAGACUGGGUAACUUAGAAAGAAAAUAGAUUUUUUUGUUUUGUUUGCUUUUGAGAUGGAGUCUCAUUCCGUCACCUAGUGGCAUGCUCUUGGCUCACUGCAACCUCUGCUUCCCGGGUGGUGAUUCUCCUGCCUCUGCUUCCCGGGUUCAAGUGAUUCUCCUGCCUCAGCCCCCUGAGUAUCCAGGAUUACAGAUCCAGUGUCAUGGCCCAGUAAUGAAGGCAGUCGAUUUUCAAGAAAAUGGCAAUGGCUCAUCAGAAAUUGAAGACCUAAUGGAUCUCUCUUUCAUGAUCUCUUCCAACUCACUGUGAAAGCUGGAUUCCCAAGGAUUUAACCCCACAGACAAACUCAGGAAGGAGCCAUCUCCUAGAAAUGCAGACAGACAGCUUGUCCCCAGACAGAGGGAGUCAUCACCAGCCUCUAAUAACUGCUUGUCUUGCCAGGAAGACGGGCAAGCCAGGGCAAGGCCACAGCCUGCAGCAUCUGUGUCCGAUUCACUCUCCUCAGUAAGCAAACUUUUGUACCCUCAGAGUAGGGUAGGGUGAGGCAGAACCUUUUCAUAGGCUCCAACCCAGCAGGAGUCCUUCUUUUUUUUUUUUUGAGACGGAGUUUCGCUCUUGUUACCCAGGCUGGAGUGCAAUGGUGCGAUCUCGGCUCACCACAACCUCUGCCUCCUGGGUUCAGGCAAUUCUCCUGCCUCAGCCUCCUGAGUAGCUGGGAUUACAGGAACGCGCCACCAUGCCCAGCUAAUUUUUUGCAUUUUUAGUAGAGACGGGUUUUCACCAUGUUGACCAGGAUGGUCUCGAUGUCUUGACCUCAUGAUCCACCCGCCUUGGCCUCCCAAAGUGCUGGGAUUACAGGCGUGAGCCACCGCGCCUGGCCAGGAGUCCUUCUUGAAUGCUACCUUCCAUAUGUGGAGCACAACAGGUUCUUUGCAAGAACACCAGUCAUCCCAGCUCACUUGUAUUUCCUGUAUUCUCAUAUUGCCCACAAGUACCUGAACUGCACCCCCCUGCCCCUCCCAGCCAUUCCACUGCAAGCACAAGCUACUUCCAACUGACCUGUCCAGGAAUCCCACUUCCAUGGUUGGAGUUGGAAUGGCAUCUGGAACCGCUGUGAAGUCAGGAAAGAUGACUCUCCACAGUUUUAAAAUGAGUGUGAGUUGUCUUGGAGAGCAGAGUUGGAUCCAUUUGUGCAUGAGACAAUGAGCUAUGGCUUUUUCCCAGGGUGUGAAGAUGUUUGUUUUGUUUAUUUCUUAUGGCUUAUAUACUUGAACAGGAUUGAGUUUUGAAAAAGCGAGUUCCCCAACUUGAAGAUAUUUUAAGAUUGUUAUGAUUUUAGAGCUAAGUGGAGCUUUAUGUGAAUGACUCUGGCCUCCUUGUAGUUGGAAAAUUUAUGUGAUGGCAGCCUUCAUUCGAGGAAUGAGAGCUAAAGACAAAACCUGGCAAGCCUCCUUGUCCAAGGAAGAAGAGUGGUGGGCUCACAGAAAUGAUUGGUCCGUCUUUU
rnacentral:lncRNA from 1 species